GACGAACGCUGGCGGCGUGCCUAAUACAUGCAAGUAGAACGCUGAAGAGAGGAGCUUGCUCUUCUUGGAUGAGUUGCGAACGGGUGAGUAACGCGUAGGUAACCUGCCUUGUAGCGGGGGAUAACUAUUGGAAACGAUAGCUAAUACCGCAUAACAAUGGAUGACACAUGUCAUUUAUUUGAAAGGGGCAAUUGCUCCACUACAAGAUGGACCUGCGUUGUAUUAGCUAGUAGGUGAGGUAAUGGCUCACCUAGGCGACGAUACAUAGCCGACCUGAGAGGGUGAUCGGCCACACUGGGACUGAGAAACGGCCCAGACUCCUACGGGAGGCAGCAGUAGGGAAUCUUCGGCAAUGGGGGCAACCCUGACCGAGCAACGCCGCGUGAGUGAAGAAGAGUUUCGGAUCGUAAAGCUCUGUUGUAAGUCAAGAACGGGUGUGAGAGUGGAAAGUUCACACUGUGACGGUAGCUUACCAGAAAGGGACGGCUAACUACGUG
rnacentral:rRNA from 1 species